UACAGAGGUCUCAAGCGUUGUUCGGAUUCAUUGGGCGUAAAGGGGUGCGUAGGCGGCGCGGUAAGUCGGGUGUGAAAUCUCGGAGCUUAACUCCGAAACUGCAUUCGAUACUGCCGUGCUUGAGGACUGGAGAGGAGACUGGGAAUUUACGGUGUAGCGGUGAAAUGCGUAGAUAUCGUAAGGGAAGACCAGUGGCGAAGG
rnacentral:rRNA from 1 species